GGUCAAGCUACUAAGGGCGCACGGGGGAUGUCUUGGCACCAAGAAGCGAUGAAGGGCGUGGAAGGCUGCGAUAAGCCCAGGGGGAGCCGUCAAACAGGCGUUGAUCCCGGGAUUCCCGAAUGAGUGUGUUCUGAAUCCAUAGGAACACACGGCGAACGUGGGGAACUGAAACAUCUCAUUACCCACAGGAAAAGAAAGAAAACUCGACUCCCUGAGUAGCGGCGAGCGAAAAGGGAUCAGCCUAAACCGUCAGCUACGGCUGGCGGGGUCGUGGGAUCAGAUUUUUAGGGACGCGUUGCUAGAAGAACUCUGGGUGGAACCCCAGGACCAUAGAGGGUGAGAGUCCCGUAUUUGAAAGCGACAGAUUCCGUAUCUGACACCCGAGUAAGUCCGAGCACGUGGAACUCGGACCGAAUCUGGGGGGCCCAUCCCCCAAGGCUAAGUAUUCCUUGGUGACCGAUAGUGAAUCAAGUAGCGCGAGCGAAAGAUGAAAAGAACCCCGUUGAGGGGAGGGAAAGAACCUGAAACCGUGUGCCUACAAGCUGUCGGAGCCAGUCUCUUUGAGACGGGUGACGGCGUGCCUAUUGAAUAAUGAUCCGGCGAGUUACCGUCGUUGGCUCGGUUAAGACCUUACGGGUCGAAGCCAGAGGGAAACCAAGUCUGAACAGGGCGACCAAUGGUCACCGGCGGUAGACGCGAAACCUAGUGAACUACGCAUGGGCAGGUUGAAGCGCGGGUAAGACCGCGUGGAGGACCGAACUCACCAGUGUUGAAAAACUGGGGGAUGACCUGUGUGGAGGACUAAAAGUGUCAUCAAACUGGGAGAUAGCUCGUUCUCUCCGAAAAUACUUUAGGGUAUGCCUUGAGCCACUAUGUGAUGGGGGUAGAGAGACUGAACUGGGUCGGGGGCCUUCCCGGCUACCCGCCCUAACCAAACUCCGAAUACCAUCAUAACUAUCUCAGGAGGUAGUCCGUAGGGGAGAAGCUCUACGGUCGAGAGGGAAACAACCCAGAUCGCCUGCUAAGGUCCCAGAAUUCUGCUCAGUCAGAAAGGAUGUUUGAUUGCAAUGACAGCCGGGAUGUUGGCUUAGAAGCAGCCACCAUUUAAAAAGUGCGUAAUAGCUUACCGGUCGAGCAGUCAUGCACCGAUAAUGAACGGGAGUAAGCAGAAUACCGAAGCAGCGGGCUCAGAAAUGAGCGGUAGGAGAGCGUUCUCGGACAGCGAGCUGUACCGUAAGGAGCAGUGGAGGGUCCGAGAAGUGAUUAUGCCGGAAUGAGUAACGAUCAGGCAGGUGAGAAUCCUGCCCGCCGUAUGCCUAAGGUUUCCUGGGGAAGGCAAAUCCGCCCAGGGUCAGUCGGCCCCUUAGUCAAGGCCGAAAGGCGUAGACGAUGGACAACAGGUUAAUAUUCCUGUACCGGAUUGUGGACUGAUGCGGGGACGUGGUCCGAAAGGUAAUCGGAGAACUAGAAUUCUCCGUAGGGCUGAACAGGUCUAGCGGGGUUAAAUGACCGCGACAUGAACUGGUCAGUUCUCGAGUCCCUGGUUGAUGAAGUUAUCAGCCGGGCCACCAAGAAAAGCCGCUGGGGUUGAAGCAAUCUGACCGUACUAAAACUGACACAGGUAGGCGAGACGAGUAGUCUAAGGCGCUCGGGAGAACGGUGGUUAAGGAACUCUGCAAAAUGACUCCGUAACUUCGGGAUAAGGAGUGCCAUUGGGUGUUCACGCAUCUGGUGGCGGCACGAAUCGGCUCUAGCGACUGUUUACUAAAAACACAGGACUCUGCGAACUCGUAAGAGGAUGUAUAGAGUCUGACGCCUGCUCGGUGCCGGUAAGUUAAGGAAGAGGGUUAGGUUUCGGCCGACGCCCGCAACCGAAGCUCCGGUAAACAGCGGCCCUAACUAUGAGGGUCCUAAGGUAGCGAAGUUCCUUGUCGGGUAAGUUCCGACCUGCAUGAAUGGCGUAACGACUGGAGCACUGUCUCAACCACCGACCCGGUGAAAUUGUAGCCGUGGUGAAGAUGCCACGUACCCGCAGUGUGACGGAAAGACCCUAUGAACCUUUACUGCAGGCUGAUAUUGGUAUUAGGUACGUUUUGUGUAGUAUAGGUGGGAGGCGAUGAAGUGGGGGCGCCAGCCUUCAUGGAGCCACAAUGUGAAAUACCACCCUGAACUUGCUUGAUAUCUAACCCCGAUCCCGUAAACCGGGCGGUGGACAGUGUCAGUUGGGCAGUUUGACUGGGGCGGUCUCCUCCCAAAGUGUAACGGAGGAGCGCAAUGGUACCCUCAGCCUGGUUGGCAAUCAGGCGUAGAGCGUAAGGGUAGAAGGGUGCUUGACUGCGAGACUGAUAGGUCGAGCAGAAACGAAAGUUGGCCCUAGUGAUCCGGCGGUUCCGAAUGGAAGGGCCGUCGCUCAACAGAUAAAAGGUACUCUGGGGAUAACAGGCUGAUCCCUACCGAGCGUCCAUAGCGGCGUAGGGGUUUGGCACCUCGAUGUCGGCUCAUCGCAUCCUGGGGGUGAAGAAGCUCCCAAGGGUCUGGCUGUUCGCCAGUUAAAGCGGUACGUGAGCUGGGUUUAGACCGUCGUGAGACAGGUCGGUCCCUAUCUACUGUGGGCGUACGAUACUUGAGGGAGUUUCUCUUUAGUACGAGAGGAUUUGGAGGGACGUUCCUCUGGUGUUCCUGUUGUCUCACUCGAGGCACGGCAGGGUAGCCACGAACGGUUCGGAUAAGUGCUGAAAGCAUCUAAGCACGAAGCCAGUCCCAAGAUGAGGUAUCGUUAAGUUCCCUGGAAGACGACCAGGUUGAUAGGCCAGUUAUGUAAGGCGGGCAACCGUCUCAGUUGACUGGUACUAACGAACGAACGCUUGACCAUUUA
rnacentral:rRNA from 1 species